rnacentral:rRNA from 1 species
GACGAACGCUGGCGGCGUGCCUAAUACAUGCAAGUUGAGCGCUGAAGGUUGGUACUUGUACCUACUGGAUGAGCAGCGAACGGGUGAGUAACGCGUGGGGAAUCUGCCUUUGAGCGGGGGACAACAUUUGGAAACGAAUGCUAAUACCGCAUAAAACUUUAAACACAAGUUUUAAGUUUGAAAGAUGCAAUUGCAUCACUCAAAGAUGAUCCCGCGUUGUAUUAGCUAGUUGGUGAGGUAAAGGCUCACCAAGGCGAUGGUACAUAGCCGACCUGAGAGGGUGAUCGGCCACAAUGGGACCGAGACACGGCCCAAACCCCUGCAGGGGGCAGCAGUAGGGAAUCUUCGGCAAAGGACGAAAGGCUGAACGAGGCACGCCGGGGGGGGGAAGGAGGGUUUCGGAUCGUAAAACUCUGGUGGUAGGGAAGAACGUAGGUGAGAGUUGAAAGCUCAUCAAGUGACGGUAACUACCCAGAAAGGGACGGCUAACUACGUG